ensembl:lncRNA
CCGCCCCAUGACAUAUGGAGUUCCUGGGCUGGGGAUCAGAUCCGAGCCACAGUUGCCACCUAUGCCAUGGCUGCGGCAACACUGGAUUUUUUAACCCAUUAUGCUGGGUCUGGAAUUGAACCUGCAUCCUGGUGCUGCAGAGACACCACUGAUCCUUUGUGCCAGAAUGGGAAUUCCUCUUUUCUAAUUUAUUAAACAUAGAGAUGCCACAUUAAAUUGCUUUUUAUGGAACAAAGUGUAAAUUUGUUUCUACCAUCAUAUAAUGUGAAAUGUGAAGCUAGAAAAAUUUGCAAUUAAAUCCUAACUUAUUGGUUGUGUGCCCCCCCACCCGAAAAUUCAUAUGUUGUAAUCCUUAGUCCUUCUACCUCAGAAUGUAACUUUAUUUGGAAAUAGGGUCAUCGCAGAUGUAAUUAGCUCGGAUGAGUCAUGCUGGCUUACUGUCCUUAUAAAAAAGGGAAAUUUGACACAGACACAUGAAAACACACACAGACACACACAGAUAUGCACAAGCACAGAGGGAGAACUAUGUACUAUAUAUCAUAUGUGGUUUUAUAGUCUAAAAGACCCUAACAGGGCUCUCUGAUGAUUAUUGUUUUUUAUGGUAGAAAACACCCAGAUACUAAUUCUAAAAGGCCAGAUAUACUAUUUUUUAAUUAAGAAUGAAUAUUUUAUUAUUGUAUUUAUUUUAUCAGAGUUGGCAAAUAUUCUUUAAACUCUCUAUUUCUGCACAUGCAUUGUUGGACCAUGAAGGACCAUUCAUGAAUGUGUUUGUAUUAGUCAUAAUACUCUAACCACCAAUGGUCAGUGGCCACAAUGGUCAUAGGCAGUGCAUUAAUUUUGCAAAAUUUGAUCAUUUCCAUUUGGAGGAGUCCUAACUCCUGUGGUCAGAAAACACAAGACAGCUACAUCAUCUUCAUUCUCUUGAAAGCCUAAAUCUAGUUCUAUGUGUGCCUAGAGUGCAAAAUUUGUCCAUGGGGAAAGAAAUACUCCCUACUGAUCUUCGUUCACUGGUACUCAAAUUUUUUUUUAAUUUAGUAGCCUGUAAUUAGGAAGUAAUUUGCUCUCAACACAUGAAGUUAUAAUUCCAAGCUAUGUUGAAACACUGCAAAAGAAGCAGUUUUGGGAAUGAAUUACUAAUUAGAAAUAUUUCUAGCUCGAAAAAAACAUUAGAGAUGGAGUUCCCUUCAUGACUCAGUGGUUAACGAACCCAUCUAGGAUUCAUGAGGAUGCGGGUUCAAUCCCUAGCCUUGCUCAGUGGGUUAAGGAUCUGACACUGCCGUGAGCUGUGGUGUAGGUUGCAGAUGCGGCUUAGAUCUGGUGCUGGGAAUGUGAAGAGUUCAACCAUUAUCCUGAAGUAAUCGGGAGUCACUGAAAGAUUUUUAACAGAGACAUAAAAUGAUGGA